CGCGUGGGAACGUGCCCCAAAGUGAGGGAUAACGCACCGAAAGGUGUGCUAAUACCGCAUAUGGUCUUCGGAUUAAAGAAUUUAUUCGCUUUGGGAGCGGCCCGCGUCGGAUUAGGUUGUUGGUGAGGUAAUGGCUCACCAAGCCGACGAUCCGUAGCCGGUCUGAGAGGAUGACCAGCCAGACUGGAACUGAGACACGGUCCAGACUCCUACGGGAGGCAGCAGUGAGGAAUCUUCCACAAUGGGCGAAAGCCUGAUGGAGCAACGCCGCGUGCAGGAUGAAGGCCUUCGGGUUGUAAACUGCUUUUAUGAGUGAAGAAUAUGACGGUAACUCAUGAAUAAGCACCGGCUAACUACGUG
rnacentral:rRNA from 1 species